CCCAAUCGCUCCCUUCAGCGAUCUUCUACGACCUCCGCUGAGUUUCUUUUGGCGCUCGCCGGGCAGUUCUCUAUGAUCACCCCCUCAGUCGCUUCCAAGCGACGGAAUAUCUGAUCGGAAAGGUAAAAUUUCAAUGAUUACCCAACCAAGAUCAGCACACGCCGACUCUAAAUUGAAUUGAAUUCCAGUUUCCUUCUGUAUCAAAUUCAGAAGCACCUCUCAUUUUCCUAAAUUCUUUCUUAGAGCCUCAAACUUUGAAAGACGAAGCAAGGUGAAGUGGCCCAAGUUGAUUGCACAUUUAGCUUGUUAUGGACCCAUCUAUUAUGAAGCUUCUGGAGGAUGACGAGGAUGAAUCAAUGCAUUCAGGUGCAGCUGUGGAUGCUUUUCAGGCUGCCUUGAAUAGAGACAUAGAAGGCGAUGUUCAGGCUGUUGCCCAGACGUCUGAAUCUGAUGCAGCCUUCCCUCAGGGGAACAACAAUGGUUCUUCUACCCUCUCGUUACAAGCUUCUAGUCAAAGUGAAAAUUCUGAAACUCAUGUGCAACAAAAUCAAAAUUUUCGUUUAAAGCAAGAACAACAUUCAUCUCUGAUGGAGCUAGAGCGAUCAGUACCUGAAAAUCAGCAGCAACAUAAUUCUGCCCCCUUUCAAGUUUCAAAGAAUCAACCCCAAGCAGAUCGUGAACAAGGGGAGGGAGAACAAGUUUCUGCUCAGUUUUCUCAAACAGCUGGGCUGCAAGUUUCUGAAAAAGCUCCAAUCCUUGUGAAUGACUCAAACAGAAUGCAGAAUCGGGACAAUGAAUCUCAAUACUUGAAGUUACAAAAGAUGAGUAAUCAGCAAUCAAUGGUUGCAGAACAGGCAAAUAACCCACUAAACCGUAGCAAACAGGUUCCUUUUGCUUCUUUGAUGCCUGUAUUGAUGCCUCAGCUUGAUAAGGACAGAGGCAUGCAGCUUCAGACUUUAUUUAACAGAUUGAAGAGAAAUGAAAUGAACAAAGAUGAUUUUAUUCGGCUCAUGCGGGGCGUUGUGGGCGAUCAGAUGCUCAGAUUAGCAGUUUGUCAAGUACAAUCACAGCCUCCACCUUCGGUAAGGCAACUUCCUCCUAGAAUGCCAUCUAUGGGUCCUGGGACACCAAAUUUCUCUGAUCCACGACCAUUUACACAACUUCAUCCAAAAGGCAUGAAUCCUCCUGCAGUUCAAUCAUACAUGCCCUCUCCAGCAUCCCAAGGGCGGAGUAGUUCAGGCUAUCCUGCCAUGGACAAGAAUAUGCAAUCUUUACGAGAAGUAGAACAGCGACCUGAUUGUAAUGGAAAUCAAAUAACUUCAUCCAGUACAAGCACCAUCCAAGAUAGGGAACGCUCCUCAGUUUCUGUUCCAGGACUUGAGAAGCAGCAGUUACACUUUCAACAGAAAUCUUUCAACAUGUAUGGAAACAGUGGUAAUUAUCACCCAUAUACUGGGUCAAACAUGAAUGCCUCUUCAUUGUCUCUUAAACCUCAACCUCACGAGGGUCAAGUGAAGCAGAUUUCGCAGCAGGCUCCCAAUUUUGACAGGCAAGUUACAAUAAAUGAUUCCAAGCGAGUCCAGGCUGGAAGUGUUCCACACUUACAUAAUAACUUAACUUCACAACAAAAUUCAUGGAAAUCAUCAACAAGUAAAGAGCAGACCAUAACAAGUUACGUUAAACAAGAACCUUCUGAUCAGGUUUCGGAGCAGAGCAAAACCCAACAUUCAAAUUUGCAGGGCUUGUCUUCUAUUCCUAGCAUGCAGGCUGAACAAGUUAACACAAACCCUGGAAUAGCGAAGGACCCUUUUGACAAACAAACUUCUAAAAUGGGUUUUCCUACACCAAAUAAUGUUAUGCCUCCUACAUCAACCAAUGCCGCAAAUUCAAUUUCUUCUGAUUCAAGCUCUCUACAUGAGUCCAAUGCUGCGGUUCCUUCUGCAACUACUCCUGGAAUGCAAAAUAGGGCACCACAAAAGAAGGCAGCCGUGGGCCAAAAGAAGCCUCUUGAAGCACUUGGCUCUUCCCCACCCCUAUCAAGUAAGAAGCAAAAAGUAUCUGGGGCAUUUGCGGAUCAAAGCAUUGAACAACUUAAUGAUGUCACUGCAGUCAGUGGAGUUAACAUUCGGGAAGAAGAAGAACAACUAUUUUCUAGUGCGAAGGAGGAUAGUCGAGCUUCUGAAGCAUCACGGCGGGUUGUACAAGAAGAAGAAGAGAGGCUGCUAUUGCAGAAAGCCCCAUUGCAGAAGAAGCUAGUGGAAAUCAUGGCUAAAUGUGGUUUGAAGGGCAUGAGCAAUGACGUUGAGAAAUGUCUCUCAUUGUGUGUGGAGGAAAGAUUACGAGGAGUUAUUAGUAAUCUAAUCAGGCUGUCAAAGCAGCGAGUGGAUGCGGAGAAACCAAGGCAUCGAACAGUUAUUACUUCAGAUGUUCGACAACAAAUUACAUUAGUUAACCAAAAGGCCAGAGAAGAAUGGGAGAAGAAACAGGCUGAAGAAGAAAAACUUCGAAAGCUUAAUGAUCCUGAUGAUGGUUCAGGUGUUUCUGGUGACAAGGAGAAAGAUGAAGGUCGAAUGAAAUCACUUAAGGUAAACAAAGAGGAGGAUGAUAAAAUGAGGACAACAGCAGCAAAUGUUGCUGCCCGUGCUGCUGUUGGAGGAGAUGACAUGCUGUCAAAAUGGCAACUUAUGGCUGAGCAGGCGCGACAGAAACGUGAAGGUGGAGUGGAUUCAGCUUCUAGUUCUCAGGCAGGGAAAGAUGCUGUCCGUAAGUCUUCUUCAGCAGCGGGAAGACAUGGGAAGGACAACCUAGAAGGUGAAAGAAAAGGAACUUCGAGGAAAUUUGGAAGGAAUCAAACUAAUGCAACUCAAACUAAGGUGGCUCGUAGCAUUUCUGUUAAAGAUGUCAUUGCUGUGCUGCAAAGGGAACCCCAGAUGUCCAGAUCCACCACAAUAUAUCGUUUGUUUAACAGAGUUCAUCCCGAAUCAACUGGUGAAUAGAAUUGACUAUGAACAAUGGUAAACUAACAUCCCUGCAGACGCGCACUCUAUGGGGGGCUAUUUUUCUGAAUUAAAGGCACACAAACUAGUCGGCGGUGGUGGACCUGUGUAGCAUGAUCUAGAUACAUGAUGAACCAGAGAUGAAGGUUGAUAUCUCAAUUAAUAAGAAGUACUCAUGCAGCUUCUCCAACCAAUGAGACCGUAAGGUUAGAAGCCAAUUUCAAAGCCAUUUUAAUAGUAAUGCUCUGUCAGCGUGGAGUAUAUUCGGCAAACCCAGAUCUGACUGAAUAUAAUUGGUUUUCCUUGUAUGAAAAUUGGAACUGUCAACCAAAAUCGGUUUCAAACUGAAUUGACGUUGGUUUAAGUAAUUAUUUUUGGGUUUUGAUUUCCCACCGUUAGUCUAAGCUUCAAAAUGUAGGUUUUCUUCUGUAAUUAAACUCUUCUUCUGUACAUUAGCGCCAACUGUAGUGAUAUUAUGUUAAGUUGUUUACUAAGUAAAUAAUUUUAUCAUUGUUUUACCCA